UUUCUUUGCUGGCGACCGGCGCACGGGUGAGUAACACGUAUCCAACCUGCCCUUUACUCGGGGAUAGCCUUCGAAAGAAAGAUUAAUACCGAUAGCAUAAUGAUUCCGCAUGGUUUCUAUUAUUAAAGGAUUCGGUAAAGGAUGGGGAUGCGUUCCAUUAGGUUGUUGGUGAGGUAACGGCUCACCAAGCCUUCGAUGGAUAGGGGUUCUGAGAGGAAGGUCCCCCACAUUGGAACUGAGACACGGUCCAA
rnacentral:rRNA from 1 species